GAGGACCCCUCGAGAUGUCCAUGCUUGCCGAACCUCGACGUAAACAGAAGUGGUCUGUAGACCCCAGAAACAGUGCACGGAGCAAUGAUUUGGAUAAGAUGUUGGAACGCAUGAGCUGGUCCAAAGAAAAGGGUCUCAGCAAACGUGAACAGGGGGCCACAGAACUCAAAGGUUAAAACAGUCUGGGUCUGGGCACUUCAGUAUACAACGAGAGCCCACGCGGGGGACACGCACAGGGUUUCAGUCUGGAGGAGAAAUUCAAGAAGAGUGUCCAUUACACCAAAUUCACCAAGGGAAAGAACUUGUCCAGUAGCAAAGAAACAGACCUAGCUUGUAUUUUGGGGAAGAGAUCAAAACAUUAAAUAAGAGACCAAGAUGAGUAAAGCAGUGUACCUGACUCUCAGGAAGAGAGAUCUGCCUCCAUGAAGGACUCCCCAAACACUAGUGAUCCUGAACCGUCUAAAAAGAAGAAAAUGGACAGAGAUGGCACUGAAGAAAUUGUAGAGGAUGUUGCGUUGAUUCCAGUUAUGGAAGACCACUUUGAAGUGAAAAGUUGCUCAGAGAAAAAGAACAAGAAAAAGUGAGAGGAGAGUGCUGAGGAUAGAGUUGAAGUGGUGGUGGUGUAGUGGGCUAAAGCACAUAACUGUCAAUCAGAAGGUCGCUGGUUUGAUCCCCACAGCCACCACCAUUGUGUCCUUGAGCAAGGCACUUAACUCCAGGUUGCUCUGGGGGGAUUGUCUCUGUAAUAAGUGCUCUGUAAGUCGCUUUGGAUAAAAGUGUCUGCCAAAUGCAUAAAUGUAAAUGUAUUUAAACAAAAAAGUUAUCCAAUACCAACUGGGCCUGUGUGAAAAGUAUUUACUUAGUUACUAAAUCCCCAAAUCUAUGAAACUGCAUUCAUAAUGGCAUUCAGCUGGACUAGACACACCCAGGCCUGAUUACUGCCAGCCCUGUUCAAUCAAAUCAACACCUCAAUAGAAUGUUUUCAGCUGCAUGAAGUUGGCUAAGUAGCACUCUAUGCCAUGGUCGAAAGAAAUUCCAGAAAUGAUGUGGAAAAAGGUGAUUGAAAUACAUAAGUCUGGGUUACAAAGCUAUUUCAAAGGAGAAAAUUUGGCACAGUAGUGACUACCUUCCAAAAUUCCUCCAAGAGCACAGCAACGACUCAUCCAGGUCACUAAAAAAAAGUCACGGACAACAUCCAAGGAACUGCAGGCCUCUCACAUCAAUAAAGGUCACUGUUCAUGAUUCCACUAUCAGAAAGACUCUGGCCAAAAAUGCCAUCCAUGGAAGAGUGGUGAGGCAAAAACCACUGCUAAAUCCGAAGAACAUCAAGGCUCAUCUGAAUUUUGCCAAAUGACACCUUGAUGAUCCUCAAGCCUUUUGGGAGAAUGUUCUGUGGACUUACAAGUCGAACUUGGAACUGUUUGUAAGACAGGGGUCCCAUUACGUCUGGCGUAAAUCAAACACUGAAUUCUAAAAAAGAAUAUCAUACCUACAGUCAAGCAUGGUGAUGGUAGUGUGAUGUGUGGGGAUGCUUCGCUGCUUAAGGGCCUGGGCGACUUGCAAUAAUUGAGGAAAACAUGAAUUCUCUAUACCAGAAAAUUCUAAAGGAGAACAUCCGAUCAUCAGUCCUUGAGUUGAAGCUCAAGCACAACUGGACAUUUUUCUAUGCAGAAAAACAAUGAUCCAAAGCAUAGGAGUAAGUCCACCUCUGAAUGGCUAAAAAGAAGCAAAAUUAUAGUUUUGGAGUGGUCUAGUCAAAGUCCUGACUUGAACCUGAUUGAGAUGUUGUGGCAGGACCUUAAACGGGCAGUUCAUGCUUGAAAACCCUCCAGUGUGGCUGAACUAAAGCAGUUCUGCAAAGAAGAGUGGGCCAAAAUUCCACCACAGUGCUUUGAAAGACUGAUCUCCAUUUAUAGGACGUGUUUGGUUGCAGUUUUUGCUGCUAAAGUUGGCAAAACCAGCUAUUUAUUGUUUUAAAUAUAAAUAUUUACCAAGAAAAGGCCCCUAAAUAACAAAUAAUUUAAGAUAUGAUUAAAUAAUUAUAAAUAAGUAUAUUUAAAUAUGUAUUAUACAUAUAAAUAUAGACUAUUAAAAUGUAUUACAUUAUUGUGGAAGAUGAGUAAGAAGACAAUACAAGAAGUGGCUUUAGAAUGCAAUUGUUUAUUUCCAUAUUAUUGAACAUAAGCCUAUCACUGGCAUACAGUCCAUGCCACAGCAAUCCAAUUGGCAAUUGAAUUCGUAAAACUGUUCAAAAUAGAUUUAUUACAAGAGCUUUUCUAAGGACACAUCACUGGGCAAAUGAGUCAGACACGCUUUUGGAGCAUCUCAUUUUUAUUUUUUUUAGCUUAUUUGGUUGCUGUGUCAGAUUAAAAGUAGCUUUUAGCUUAGAAAAACAUGUCUUGAGAUCUCUGCAUUCAGAAUUGCACUCCAUCCAGUUGUGUUUGAAAGCAACAACACUUUCUCAUCUUGUGUUGUUGCUAGUGUCAAGCAAGCCAGAGUGUUGUUUGCAGUUUGCACAGCUGCCUGUACAGCUGGUGUUUCACUUAUUGCCAACUGCUUAAAACAGGUAGUACUAGUACGUUUUAAUGUGUUAUUUUUUUAUAUACCUAAUUAACACUCUGAAUUAAAUCAACAGCCCUAGUGUGUAUCAUGCAUACAUGAUACACACUAGAGCUGUUGAUUUAAUUCUGUAAAAGCAAUUUAUAAAAAAUCUAUAUAUAUAUAUAUAUAUAUAUUUUUUUUUUUCAUUUUUCAAUGAAAAAUGUUAUCCCACUUUGCUUGAAAUGCCACAUCUACAAAAUUGUAUUUACCGAUAUGUAUACAUUUUCAAUUUUAAUAAUAUUUUUAAAUUGAGCACUUGGAUUUCCAGAAGAUGCAGCAUAACCCAAAGUCUUAUUAAAUUGGAUGCAAACAUCAAUAUGUAAUCAAUGUCAAUAUUUUCUUAUUGCUAACUUUGUAGUCCUAUAAAGAUUCAAAUCCAUAGUAAUUGCCAUGCCAAUUGUUUUAGCGUACUGAACAAGAAAUGUAAGUUGAGAAAGUAAUAUGAGAAUUUAUUCACAUAUCAGGAUAUAAAUUGGCAUAUUUGCAUUCACAUUAAUUAUUUGUUCACAAGAACUUUUGCUAGACUAGUGGAAUUACUUGGUUAUUUAAAACUCCCAACUCAUUAAUUGAAAUGGGUCAGUUUUUAAAUUCUAAAUUUUGUCUAACUCUGUUUAAUACUGGUUUUACAUGUGAAAUACUACUGCAACUUUACUUUAUUAGCUGGGCUCACAUGCGCUCUUCAACUCCCUAAAUUGAAAUGAAUGGAAAUAGCUCAUAACAUAAUGUAUGAAACAGCAUCUCUGAACAGUGUCUGUAAUAGAAAUGUAUUAUUUUGACAUAUCCAAGCUUUGCCAAUCAUAAUCAUGUACAAUGUACUUGUGUGUUGUGUUUUAAUUAGCCCCAGUAAUGAUUAUCCUCUGCCCCAUGUUCUGUAAUUAGAGGCAGGUUGUGGAUCUCACCUCAAUUACUCCAUUACACUGGAAAGUCAUUUUUCAAAUGCAUAACUUGUGCAGUGUUGACAAACCCAUUCUGUGAUUAUUGCAGUGCAAUUGCGUAAAGGAUUGAAGAGCAAUUGCACUGCAAUAAUUUUGA